AAAAAAAAAACACUACCACUAUCCGAGUGAACAACACUCAUAAUAGUUGCAUAAACAACACAUUGCUCAUCAUUAAAUUGAGUAAGAAAUUUAUUGACCUCAAUCAGCAAACUAAAAUGAUCAACUUAUCCGCUAUCAAUUUGUUACAUGAAUUGUCAAAAAAAUGUCCCAACAGAAAUGGAAUCAACUCAUAUUUACGCAAACUCCUUCCUAAAU
rnacentral:lncRNA from 1 species